AAAAAAAUUUAAGAUUUUAUUUUUUUCCUGUAUAUUUUUCUUCUUUUAGUAUAUGUAUAUUAUUAUUUUAUUCUCCUCUGCAUUUUAGGUUUCACCAUUACCCAGUGUUUCUUUAAAUAUAGUUUUACUAUUUAAUUGAACUUACAUGUUCCAUCUGUGGAAGAAAUUGCAGCCAGUUUUGAGAUUUUCAAUGUUUUUCUGCAAAAAAAACCUUUUUAUUAUGUAAUUAAUAUUUAUUUUAAAAACUUGAAAAUAGAGACAAGUAAAUAAAUAUAAGACAAAAAUCAUUCAAAAUCUUAUUCAGGUUCAUGUAGGUUGUUGCUGUGUAUUUUGGCUUAUAGUAUGUACUUACAAAAAGGUUGAAUCAUGUUGUUUAUAUUUUUUGUUUGCUUUUGAAACUUCUUAACCCAGCAUCUUUUGUGUGUCAAUAAAUUGUGUUUCUGCUGUAUUUUUAAUAGAUACUUAGUCUGUAAUACAGACUACCAUGAGAUUCAACAAACUGCGAAUUUAAUUAAGCAACCCUUUGUGGUUGAAGGGCCUAGUCUGGUGUCUGGCAUUUAGUAUACACUGAUAGCAUCUGUGUAAAAGUGUGUGAACAUUUGGAAGCUUCAGUAAAAACAUUGUGUGAAAUUGUCCUCUAGAACUUACCCUGUAUUAGCUAUAUGUGAAAUUGCUGAUAGCCUUUUAUUAUGUUAGGUACACUGUGUUACCCUUAAAAAAAUCUUUGCUAUUCUUUCUAGUAAAAAAAAAA